AUGGCGUUCUCCGACGAGUACAUGGGCGUGGAGGCCCAUGCGACACAGAAACCCGCCCUCGUCCAACUCUCCGUCGGCAAGAAUCAGACGGUGCUGCUCUUCCAACUGAGCGCCGCUGAAAAGUGCACCGUCUUCGACAACUUCCUCGCCGACCCCAGGUACACCUUUGCUGGCUUCUCCAUCGACGGCGACAAAACCAGGCUAGAGGGCGUCAACCUGGAGGUCGCCAAAUUCGUCGACAUCCAGAAGGAGUGGAGGGUGCCCGAGGCAACCAAGGAGUUGGACUCCCUUGGAGACGUCUCCGGCAUGCUCAUCGAUGACUACUACAACAACAUGAAGAAGAAGAUCACCGACGAUGAACACAGGCGCUGGGCCACCCUGCCUCUGUCCAUGAGGCACAUCGAGUACGUGGCAAAGGACGCCUACGCAGCGUACGAGAUAUGGAACCGCAUCACCCUCACCCAGGACGGGCUUCGCCGUGCAAAGCUGGAGGAGGAGGAGCCCCCCAAGAAGUGCGCCAGGAGCAGCUGGGGAUGGGGAGACGCUACCUGGUGA
rnacentral:rRNA from 1 species